UCUUAUGGAUGAACAAAGAAACUGGUUUCUUGAAAUGGAAUCUACUCCUGGUGACAAUGCUGUGAA
rnacentral:pre_miRNA from 1 species